rnacentral:lncRNA from 1 species
CGAUGGGUCCAAACAGAACUUGAGACAACUGCCUCCCCGGUCACUUGGCUGGAGACAGUUAGCAGCGAACAUGCUGUGCUGCUUUCCCAGACCUCAAGGCCGCAGGCCCAGGACCCCACGAAAGGAAAGCACUUGGCAACGAGUGAGAAGAUGGUUCACUUGCCCCAGAUGCUUCAGAACAUUCACCAGGAGCUGCCCAACAGUCACGGACUGCACAGGGCAGGUCUCCCCAGACCCAUUCACCAGGUGCCCAGAGAUGAGAGGGAGCCCAGGGAAGGUGUCCCUAGGCCAGAACUUCAUCUGCUCUGAGACACCGAGUCCAGUACAGAUCUAUAUAGACCUGGCCACCUCCUCCGCAGACAGCCUGGCAGACCUCGGCACAGUGAGCACGGUGCAGGCAGGGCCAUCCCACACCGUGAUGGAGUCCGUGGAGCAGGACUUUCCGGAGAGGAAGAGCAGGUCUGCCUCUUCCAUUCCUGAUUCCUCACCGGAGCUGAUAUCCCAGGUGGAUCCCCAGGAUGACCUUCUCCUGAACCAGCUGGAGCCUCCUGAGCCCACUGAGGCAGAGCUCCACGAUCCGGCCCACACUGACGUCCCACCUGCUGAACUCGUGCCAGCUCCACCUGCAGCUCCCGUGGCAUCUCUGGCCCCACAGCAGGAGCCAGCACCUGGAAGCCCUGCUCCACCAGGAACACAGCUGCAACUUCUGGCUCCAUGGCAGGUGUCCUCUCUUCAGAUCUACCUGGACCCAGCUCUUCACCUGCAACUGCCAUUCGCCUGCCUUACUCAUUUACUUAAUAUUGUUUUUAUUGUAACUCUUAUUUCCUGGAGAUUGGUCAAUGAUAGAAUUUAAAUAAUAAAAUUGAAGAUUUUCGUCUUGUUGAUAAUUAUCAGCUUGUUGCAUUCUCACUCAUUCGCCAUGUUUUGCAACCUUUACCAUUGUCCACUUCCAAGACAUUUUCCUCAAC